UGGGGAAUCUUGGACAAUGGGCGCACGCCUGAUCCAGCCAUGCCGCGUGAGUGAUGACGGCCCUAGGGUUGUAAAGCUCUUUCACCGGUGAAGAUAAUGACGGUAACCGGAGAAGAAGCCCCGGCUAACUUCGUGCCAGCAGCCGCGGUAAUACGAAGGGGGCUAGCGUUGUUCGGAUUUACUGGGCGUAAAGCGCACGUAGGCGGACUUUUAAGUCAGGGGUGAAAUCCCGGGGCUCAACCCCGGAACUGCCUUUGAUACUGGAAGUCUUGAGUAUGGUAGAGGUGAGUGGAAGUCCGAGUGUAGAGGUGAAAUUCGUAGAUAUUCGGAGGAACACCAGUGGCGAAGGCGGCUCACUGGACCAUUACUGACGCUGAGGUGCGAAAGCGGGGGGAGCAAACAGG
rnacentral:rRNA from 1 species